UGCAAAACAACGAACUCUCCACAAUUCUCUCUCACGCCGCUCUCCAAUCUAGAACAAAUACAAUGGAUGCGGAGAAGAACGAAGAACUGGAAUGAUUAAGAUGAAGAUUAAACAAGGAUCUGUCUUUCAACAUAUCUAUCUGAAGUUGAACUCCCAUCUGCUUCGUUUUUUCACCGUCUUAUGAACAGGAAUGUCGCAUAUCAGGCUUCACAACGAUUUCAACUCCCUUCCUAGCAAAUGGAAAAUGAAAGAUGGAUGCACAUAAUGAGGAAUAAAAAGAAGGGGUCAGAGGCUUUUUUUUAUAGUGUAUUAGUUGGAAUGAAAAUAGUUGACUAAGUUCGAAAAUACGAGGUUUCGUCAUCACUAUUCUUAAAGUGUUCUUCAAAAAGGCUGAAAUCCAAAUUAACCAGGUGGGUUUGUGUUUGAGCUCUUCAUCGCCUCCGUUUUCGCUUCGUUGUUCAUCAGGUGGUGUUCAUCUUGGGUUGGAUUAGGGCACAGUAAGUGGGUGAUUUAGGACAUUUGUUUGGGUGUAAUUGUUAAUGUGUGUGACCUCAUCGAUGUCUGAUUAAGGGCUGGUGUGCUUGGGAGAUCAAUGGCUGUCGCAAGUGUUACAACAGGGCUCGGUAAGCGACCUGUUACAAGUGUUGCUUUUAAGAACUGAUAAAGUAUUUUUGGUUUCUUUCCACCCGUCACAAGUGUGUUUUGCCUGUUUAAAAUUGCUAAAAUAAAUGCAGCUGUGUUUUUGCUGAAUGUAAAGUGUUAGUUUACAUGAUUAAAUUUGUAAAAAGUAAAGGAUAAAAAGGACAAAAGGCAGCUGCGUUUUUUUUUUGUGAAUGUGGAGUCUUCGUAAUUGACAGACAACCAGAUCGGAUGUUAUGUUCCUUCAUUCUAGAAGUGUCAGGUACGAAUGUUUUUCAAACUUGAACCAUUUUAUGAACUUGUUUAAAAAUUAUUUUUAGCAGUAACUUGGAGAAUUGAUGAUGUUCAUGAUAUAAUAUAAAUAGUGAAACAGGGGUUAGGAGAGUCAAGGAACCAAAGUGGAAGAAUAAUCAGGUAAGUUAAGUUGAUAUUUCACUUUUUCCCUGAAAAAAGGUACACCUAUUUCCUUGAUUGGUGAAUUUAGACUGCAAAAUGAGAACUGAACCAUUCUGUUUUGUUUGAAAAAGGUUUGGUCAAAACUCAAAACUCAUGUUUCCUUUAUUUAUUUCUGAAUCAUCGUAGUUUAAAUCUCUCAUUUAAAGUUAAGCUUGGUCUU